rnacentral:rRNA from 1 species
UACGUAGGGGCAAGCGUUGUCCGGAAUUACUGGGCGUAAAGAGCAUGUAGGCGGAUAUUUAAGUCAGCUGUGAAAACUAUCGGCUCAACCGGUAGACUGCAGUUGAUACUGGAUGUCUUGAGGGUAUGAGAGGGCAGUGGAAUUCCUAGUGUAGCGGUGAAAUGCGUAGAUAUUAGGAGGAACACCAGUGGCGAAGGCGACUGCCUGGACCGAUACUGACGCUGAGACGCGAAAGCGUGGGGAGCAAACAGGAUUAGAUA